rnacentral:rRNA from 1 species
AUGGAAAAGAAUGGUUGCUCCUCGUCAUCAAAUGCUUUCCUCAGCACCCACUUCUCAAUUCUUCCAAGAUCAGGUCGGAUCUGUAACAUCAGAUAUAGUAAUUGUCUAAAAGUAGAAACUAGGAAGACAUUUUACAACAAUAUGGAAUGGCACACGUGCUUCGAGUCCCCAUGCAGAUGUUGCCUUGUUGGCCCUCAAGCAAUCGUACUGAUGCAGAGCUUUGAUCUACAGUGUAAUCAUUAUGUCAGGGUGUCUGAAUCUGCCAUUUUUCUGAAAAUUUCUUUCUUAUUCACCUUUUGA